rnacentral:lncRNA from 1 species
AGACAAUGAGGAUUAAGUGACUUCAGUCACACAGCUGGGAAGUGUCAGAGGUCAGAUUUGAAACCAGGACAUCUCUCUAGACCUGCAUCCUUCAUUUUUGAAGAUAACUAAUGCCAUCAUAGGGCAAAAUCUUCACUUGCCCAUGAGUUGGAUUUAAGUGAGGCAGAGUUUCACAAAGUCAUCAGCCUCACUCUUUCUUCGAGAGUCAUCGAUGUUCAGUGGCAAGAUAAAAUUUUGGCUGACUGUUAGAUGGCAUGAGCACAAGUGUAUCCACUUAAGACUGAAGAUGUUUUUAUUCUCUGACAAGCCUAGCCUGCAUUCCCUGGGAAGGGAACUUCUUCAUGAAUUGAGAGAGGAAAUAAC